CCUACGGGGGGCUGCAGUGGGGAAUAUUGGACAAUGGGGGCAACCCUGAUCCAGCCAUGCCGCGUGUGUGAAGAAGGCCCUCGGGUUGUAAAGCACUUUCAGUGAGGAAGAACGCCUGGUGGUUAAUACCCAUCAGGAAAGACAUCACUCACAGAAGAAGCACCGGCUAACUCCGUGCCAGCAGCCGCGGUAAUACGGAGGGUGCGAGCGUUAAUCGGAAUUACUGGGCGUAAAGCGCGCGUAGGUGGCUUGAUAAGCCGGUUGUGAAAGCCCCGGGCUCAACCUGGGAACGGCCUCCGGAACUGUCAAGCUAGAGUGCAGGAGAGGAAGGUAGAAUUCCCGGUGUAGCGGUGAAAUGCGUAGAGAUCGGGAGGAAUACCAGUGGCGAAGGCGGCCUUCUGGACUGACACUGACACUGAGGUGCGAAAGCGUGGGUAGCAAACAGGAUUAGAUACCCGGGUAGUC
rnacentral:rRNA from 1 species